CGCAGAGCACUGGAAGGGCUGGUGCAGAUCUACUUCCCGUGCGGAAGAGAAGUCAGAUCUUCCAGGGAAUCGCAAUGUGGUGGCGUCUGACUUGUAUGUCACAUUUGUGUAAAAUGGUAUAUUCUUUAAAAUAGUGUUGAUAACUGGAAUAUUGUAUGUAUGCUUGGAGAUGCUUUGUGUGAACCUAAGACUGUCACUCAACAGAUGUUGGAUUGGGGAAAAUCCAAAGCACAACUUCAAAAUAAAAUACAUUUUUAGGUUUCGAUGCUGCAGUUCAUAUCCCUUCUCUCCUCUUUGAAAUCUCUGAUUCAGGACUCCAGCUGCCCAGGAGGGAUUUUGAUUCGUCUGUGCUAACAGAGCCCUGCCUGGCAACAGAGAGAGCAACGAGAUGACCUUACAGCCAGCCACCUUCUCCCUCCCCACUAAGGCAUAGCACACUUGCAUUUAGAAUGGGAGGUUUUUUCCCCAGCAUUUCCAUUUAGCCUGUGUGUGGAUUCUCAUAGGUUUUGUGGAGAGUCUUCCAGCUCACCAUUGGACCGCCUGUUGCCAUGAGAACCAUUGCCUUCACAGAAUCCACCUUCCUUGUUUUCUAUCUCUAGUCAGAUUUCCCCACUUCAGGGAGUGGGGCCUAAGAAGUUGCUUAGAAACUUGGCAAGCUACAACCAAGGGUGACUAGAGGUUCUCUUUCUUCCACAACCAAAGCCCUGAGUCAUUCUGCCCUUGACAGCCCCCUGCCUCUGGGAGAAAAGCUGACCAAUUUGCUUGUGCUGUUGGUGGGAGUGGGGGAUACAGGUGAUAGAUUGUGAGUCUAGCACAGCUUAAGUUCAAGGGUGAAGUUAUUCAAAGGUAACAACUUGAAACAAAUCCUAGAGCUCCUAGGGCCAACACUUACUUUUAACAGGCUUGUUCUAAUACCAGAUGCCCCUGGGGAUGGAUCACAUCUCUCCAAGUGGGUACCCUGUGUUCAGUGGUAAUGCAAGGAAUCCUACCCUCAGCUCUAGACAGGACACUUUACAACCCCUUCUUAGGUUUAUCAUCCCUUUCCGUUAUUCAUAUGUCUUUUAUUCAGCUUUGCUAUGCCCUUCCAGCCUACUGUCUCUUCCCUUCCCCUGUUUUCAAGGAAUAGCUACAUCUUGAGCUUCUCUUGCUGGGCCCUUGGCCUCGGGUAAGUCAAGGCCAAGGCUACUGUGCCAUUCUGGUAGGAAUGAGUUCUCCCUGAGUGCAGGGAGAAUGGGGAUGGCCAGGAGCACCCCAUAAUAGCUGUGACAUGGAGCCAGUUCGUAGGCCGUGAGCAGGGGACAAAAGAGCCCCUUUUCAGAGGGUCCCGAGGCAAAGGCAGGCUAUGCUUUUUAGGUCCUCUUUAUCCAUAUAUGGUUCUUUUUAUUUCAUAUGUCCUGAUGGGGGCUGGAUGGAAACUAGUGGCAAUGAACACUGUCAAAACACAAGCCCGUUCCAUCCAGAUAGAAACCAAAAAUGUAGACCAGAUGUAUGUUAACUUAGGAAACAGUCUUUUAAGACUAACCUAAAUGUUUAUAUCAAACUUGUCCAACCCACAGCUCAGGAUGGCUUUGAAUGCAGCCCAACACAAAUUCGUAAACUUUCUUAAAACAUUUUGAGAUUUUUUUGCAAUUUUUUUUUAGUUCAUCAGCUAUCAUUAGUGUUUGUGUAUUUUAUGUGUGGCCCAAGACAAUUCUUCCAAUGUGGCCUAGAGAAACCAAAAGAUUGGAAACUCCUGAUUUAUGUUCAUCGGUAUAUGACAUUUCCUUUUACUCAGGAGUUAACCUUGGCAUAUUACAUAUACUAAAGACAGUCAUUUAGUCAGUCAACAAACAUUAAGCUUCUCUCUGCAAGCACUGUCCUAUAGUACUGAACAGAAAAAAAAACAGGUAAUGGAGCUUUCUAGUCAGGGAGGACAGAUGAAAAAGCAAAAUGAGUAUUACUCUGAAAACGAAACUGUAAUAAGAUAGGAGUUGUUCAGGAAAUGAAGGAUUCUCCUUGACCUGGCAAGGCUGACAUGACUAGUAGACAUCUAAGUGGAAAUACCAGGUAGACCCUUGGAUAUACGAAUUUGGAGAUUUGGGGGUAGAUAAUACCUGAAAACCUAUUAGGAACUGUUACAUUAUAGAUGUAUUCAAACAGAGAUUCCCAGGAAGAGCGUGGAGAUGGAAAAAAGAGAAGGUCCUGAUCAUUAGAAAUGCAGCAGAGGGGCUGGGUGCGGUGGCUCACACCUGUAAUCCCAGCACUUUGGGAGGCCUAGGCGGGUGCACCUGAGGUCAAGAAUUCGAGACCAGCCUGACCAACAUGGAGAAACCCCGCCUCUACUAAAAAUAGAAAAAAA
ensembl:lncRNA